CACACACAAACAUAAAAAGAUAAGAGUUUCUGAAGGUCAGUUGAGUGGACUGAAUGCCUGAUGAAAGGUGUGUCUAGCUUUUUUUUUUUUUUUAAAGUCUGUAAGUACUGUGCCUCUCUGAUUACGCACAGUAAAGAGUUCCAGAAGGUAGGGGCAAUGUGGCUGAAUGCCCUGGAACCUGGUUGUCUUUAUUCUUGGCACUGACAGGAUGGAUUUGCUGGUUAACUGAAGUGAAUGGGAUGGAAUGUAAGGUGUUAGGAGCUCUUUCAGGUACUGUGGGCCUUGCUUGUUUAAGGUUUUGAAGGUUAGCAGGUCAAUAUUUCUAGGUUUUGUACAUUUACCAACCAUAAGGUCAUGACUAAAAAUUCUACCACGAUAUUUUAACAGGAUGUAGUGUUUCCGAUACACGCGUGCUACAAUACCGUCUACCAGAAGUGACAUGUACACAUGCAUGCUAUCAGCUGCCGCAAG